GUCCGGCCAGGGCGCGGGGCCGGGCUCGCAGAUCCCUCGCCCUGCGCCUCUCUGAGCCGCGCCGCACAGCCGCGAAGCCCCACGCUUCCGCGCCGUGGCGCUGCUCCGGAUUCCCUAAGCGGAGUGGAGUUCGGAGGGGGCCGUGCAGUGCAGGGGUCGGCGCCUGGGCUUUGGUGCCAGGCUCGCCACACCCCAGCUGGCUGAUGAGCAGCAGAGCCCUUCGCCCUCUAAACCCCACGUUCUCAUUUGUAAAGGAGGCUUCAGAAGCGCGUGCCUUGCGGAGCUUUUGCAAGGAUUGCCUGGGCAGACGCCUGGAAAGCCCCAGGCCCACGGAUGCAGCACGAGGAGGCCCCCUGAGCCAGGCGUGACAGCCAGGUAUACCAGCGAGGAGGGGGUUGCCUCACGCAGCUGCUGCCACUCCACCUGUGAAAACGCCGGCUCCAAUUCGAAGAUACGUCCUCCCCACUUCUGUGCCCUGAAGGCAGCCAGUGGGGGUGGGGACCAUGCACCUUUCCCAAGUGACCCAUUUGCAGUGGGACCAACAGCCCUCCCCAGUGUCACCCCACCGCUGGAGGCGGGCGAGCGCCAGGCCCUGGAGGCGGGCUUCAAGUGAUUCUGGGCUCUGCCUCCUCUGAACUGCUCUAAACGAAGCCAUCGGCCUGACUGCCACUGUCUGGCUUCAAGGGCUUCCGCAUCCCCUUCCUUUGAUUCUUCUUGGGCUUUGGCUGGAAUUAGUAAGGAGGCGUUCCCGGCUCCUCACAGCACCUUUGGCCACCUCCGAGUCCCGACGGAGAGCUCCUACUGUGUGCCCAGCCUGCAGGAGUGACGCAGGUGCCAGUGCUCAGAGCACACAGCCCAGUGGGCAGGCCCCCAGCACCCCUCCGCCCCACUCAGUCACUGACAAGGUCCCCAGGGCCCCAUGCGCGGGUUCUGGGCCAGGCCCUGGGUGUAUAUAGGGCAAUGGA